rnacentral:piRNA from 1 species
UGAUCAGAUGUGCCACCUUACUGAUUGAUGC